CUUCAUCUUGAUCUCGAUUUACUCCAGCAAUUAGUGUCCUCCUCUUGUCUUUUUAACUCUAUGUAUUCAAUUAGUGUCCUCCUCUCGUCUUUUUAACUCUAUGUACUCACCUAGUGUCCUCCUCUUGUCUUUUUAACUCUAUGUAUUAACAUAGUGUCCUCCUCUUGCUUUUUAACUCUAUGUACUCACCUAGUGUC